UACGUAGGGGGCAAGCGUUGUCCGGAUUUAUUGGGCGUAAAGAGCGUGUAGGCGGUUAGGUAGGUCCGUUGUGAAAACUCGAGGCUCAACCUCGAGACGCCGAUGGAAACCAUCUGACUAGAGUCCGGAAGAGGAGAGUGGAAUUCCUGGUGUAGCGGUGGAAUGCGCAGAUAUCAGGAGGAACACCAAUAGCGAAGGCAGCUUGCUGGGACGGUACUGACGCUAAGGCGCGAAAGCGUGGGGAGCGAACAGG
rnacentral:rRNA from 1 species